rnacentral:rRNA from 1 species
AAUCAACGCUGGCGGCGUGCCUCAGACAUGCAAGUCGAACGAUUAAAGCUUCCUUCGGGAAGUGUAUAGAGUGGCGUACGGGUGAGUAACACGUAAGUAAUCUACCCUUGGGUGGGGAAUAACUUAGGGAAACCUAAGCUAAUACCGCAUAAUGCAGCGGCUCCAUAUGGAGACAGUUGUUAAAGCAUUUAUGUGCCUAAGGAGGAGCUUGCGGCAGAUUAGCUAGUUGGUAAGGUAAUGGCUUACCAAGGCGACGAUCUGUAGCCGGUCUAAGAGGACGGUCGGUCACACUGACACUGAAUAACGGGUCAGACUCCUACGGGAGGCAGCAGUCGGGAAUUUUGGUCGAAUAGGGCGGAAAGACCUCGACCCACGCAACGACCGCCGUGAAGGAAGUGAAGUAAUUUCGGUUAGUGUAAACUUACGUAAGUAAUGGGAAGGAAUAAAUAGACGGUACC